UCCCGAGUCGCCGGUUUCCGCCGGAAAAGGUUCCGUCCGGUCCAGACGGGUCUGUCCCUCUUUUCUAUCUUUAUUUUCGGUUUGGAAUCGUUCAACUGAUCCGGUACAGAUCCGGACCGGUGCCGAAGAUACACCGUAAUCUGCUGUCCGGUUUUGUCAGUAGGUGCAGGGUCUCGAUGCAGAUGCUGCGGGUGAAAUGAAUAAGGCCCCUCAGCCUCUGUCAGGACCCCCGUCCGCCCCACCCCACCCCUCUGUCCCGCUGCCAGCGCCCUCUCCAGGCCUGAGCCAGCCUAGUUUUCCUCCUGGUCCUCCAGUGGUGUUCGGGACUCCUCCACCACAGAUGAACCCCACAGCUCCUCCCCGACAGUUUGCCUCAGGUCCUAGAGCUUUACCACAACAGGGAGGAUUCAGGUCACUGCAGCCGUACUAUGCCGGUCGGCCCACUUUACCCACCAAUUCUGGGCGUGUCCAGACAAGCUCCGCCCCUCAGCCCAUUCCCCCUCCACAUGCAGCCCGCCCCCCUCACGUGUUCCAGCCUGGCCCCUCCCAGAUGAUGAUGAUUCCCCAGCAGCCAAUCAGCUUCCCCAACUCACAAGGCGCGGCUUAUUAUAUAUCUGGCCAGUACCGUCCUUCAUACGUGACCCCGCAGCAGUAUCAAGUGGCCAGCUCCACCGCUUUCUACCCCGGCACCAGCCCGGCUGAUUAUGCCGGAGCUUAUUAUCCUGCUCAGGCCCAGUUUACACCCUCUGUUGCUGCACCGCAAGUGAUCAUGAACCCCGCCCCCCAACAGCAGCAGGCCCCGCCUCCUCCUCCUCAGCAAGCUCCGCCCAGACGCGAACGCAAACAGAUCCGGAUCAGAGACCCGAACCAGGGUGGUCGUGACAUUACAGAGGAGAUCAUGUCAGGAGGACGCAGCGGCUCCACGCCGACGCCUCCACAGCCCAACGGUGACAGCUCCACAUCCGCAGUCAUCAUGACAACCAGAGCGGAGUUUCCCAUCCCUCCAGGUGAAAGCCCAUUACCAGACACGCCUCCAACUCCGCCUCCUACCAGUCCCAUAAGCGAUACGGUAGAUGCCCCGCCUCCAGCACCUGCAGACGACGCCCACUUUACGCCCAUUUUAGUGGAACCGCCUUCCUCUAACGGUGCAGAGGCCACACCCACUCAAAUAAAAGAGGAGGAGCCUGUAACUAUAACCCCUCCUCUCCCCACCCCACAUCUGGAGCCAGCGCUUGAGUCUCCAAUAGCGCAGCCUGAAGAGCUCCAGCUUUUCAAUGGCGUCUUUGUGGGAUCCGCCCACAGAGACGUCAGUCCAAUCGCAGAGCCCGACGUCACUAAGGAAGCACUACCGGUUACCAAGGAAAUCCCUGAUAGAACUGUCAAAGAAAUCCCUCCUCAGGUCAUCAAGGAGACUCCUGUUGCGAUCGUUAAGGAAGUGCCAGCUCCGGGUGGUUGUCAAGGAGCCUGUUCCAACGGUUGUCAAGGAGACUCCCGCUCCUGUCGUCAAGGUGCCUGUGGUUGCCAAGGAGACGCCUGCAGCAGUUGAUGUGAAAGAGCCUGUAGUCAAGGAAACAACGCCUGUUGUCAAAGAAGUCAAGGAAAUGCCGGUCGUCAAGGACAUUCCUGUCGUCAAGGACAUUCCUGUCGUCAAGGAGAUUCCUGUUGUCAAGGAGAUUCCUGUUGUCAAGGAGAUUCCUGUUGUCGAGGAGAUUCCUACUGAACCUUUCAUUGAAACUCCAUCUGUGGUCGAGGAAACACCUUCUGUUGUUGCCAAGGAGACCCCGGAACCGCUAAUCAAAGAGCCACCUGUCACUGCCACGUCAGAGGUCAUCACAUUUGCUUCUAAAGCCACACCCCCUCCGACUGAAGAGCGGGAGGACACGCCCCCUACACAGACCACACCCUCUGAGACUGCUAUGCAAGUGGUUUCUGUGCCAAAGAAGAAGAGGAAAAUGAAGGAUCUGAACAAAAAGGAGGCUGGUGAUCUGCUGGACGCCUUUAAAGAGCCAACCCCUCCUGAACCUGAAGCCACACCCAUAGUGAAGGCGGAGCCAGAGAGCCCUGCCCCUGUGGCUCCGCCCCCUGCUGAAGAAGUGGAUGAGACGUGGGAGGAGAAAGAGGACAAACUGGAUGCUGAAAACAUCAAGCCUGAGAGCCCGACCACACCCACUGAUCAGAAGUACCAGUAUAAAGCAGAGCAAUGGAAACCUCUGAAUCUGGAGGAGAAGAAGAAAUACGACCGAGAGUUUCUGCUGGGCUUCCAGUUCAUCAGCGCCAGCAUGAGCAAACCUGAGGGUCUGCCGCACAUUACUGAUGUAGUGCUGGAUAAGGCCAAUAAGACUCCUCUGCGUCAGCUGGACCCUAGUCGUCUGCCGGGCAUGAACUGCGGUCCAGACUUCACUCCGUCGUUUGCCAAUCUGGGCCGUCCGUCAGCUGGAGGACGAGGACCGCCGUCAGGUCUGGGUGGUCCGCGGCGCUCUGGUCAGAGUCUCCAGCAUCAGCAGCAGCAGCAGCAGCAGUACCGUGGUAAAGAGCCCAGGAAGAUCAUCGCCAGCGUGUCUCUGACUGAAGACGUGCAGCUCAAUAAAGCAGAACAGGCCUGGAAGCCGUCAGUGAAGCGCAGCACAGAUGAGGAUCAGCCGGAGCUGCAGACGCAGGAACUGUUCAAGCGCGUGCGCAGCAUCUUAAACAAGCUGACGCCGCAGAUGUUCCAGCCGCUGAUGAAGCAGGUCACCGAGCUCUCCAUACACACCGAGGAGAGGCUGAAAGGAGUCAUCGACCUCAUCUUCGAGAAGGCCAUCUCCGAGCCGAACUUCUCCGUCGCGUACGCCAACAUGUGCCGCUGCCUCAUGGGGCUGAAGGUUCCCACAGCUGAUAAACCGGGAGUGUUUGUGAACUUCAGGAAGCUUCUGCUGAAUCGCUGUCAGAAAGAGUUCGAGAAAGACAAAGAUGACGAUGAGACCUUCGAGAAGAAACAGAAGGAGCUGGACGCUGCCACUGUGGAGGAAGAGCGGCAGAGACUAAAGGAGGAGCUUGAGGAUGCCAAAGACAAAGCCCGGCGACGGUCGCUAGGGAACAUCAAGUUCAUCGGCGAGCUGUUUAAGCUGAAGAUGCUGACGGAGAACAUCAUGCAUGACUGCAUCGUCAAACUGCUGAAGAACCACGACGAGGAGAGUUUAGAGUGUCUGUGCAGACUGCUGGCCACCAUCGGCAAAGACCUGGACUUCGAGAAAGCCAAGCCCCGAAUGGAUCAAUAUUUUAAUCAGAUGGAGAAGAUCAUUAAGGAGCGUAAAACCUCCUCCAGAAUCCGCUUCAUGCUGCAGGACGUUCUGGAUUUACGACGGAGUAACUGGGUGCCACGCAGAGGAGAUCAGGGCCCGAAAACCAUCGAGCAGAUCCACAAGGAGGCGCAGCUGGAGGAGCACCGCGAGCAGGUGAAGGUGCAGCAGCAGCUCAUGUCCAAGAAGGACAGCAGAUCCGGGGCCACAGCUGGAGGAGGGAUGGGGUCCCGUGGGUCCACACACACACCCGGGCCACGGGGAAACCAGAGCCCUGACGAUGGCUGGAACACUGUACCCAUUUCCACUAAAAACAGACCCAUCGACCCAACACGACUCAGCAAGAUCACCAAGCCUGGAGCUCUGGACUUCAAUAAUCAGCUGCUUGCCCCUGGAGGUAAAGGCACGUGGGGCAGUUGGGGCAAAGGCAGCAGUGGAGGAUCAGGAGCAAAACCCAGCGACAGCGCUCAAGAUUCUGGUCGUCCGAAUACUUUAAACCGUUUCUCAGCACUUCAGCAGCCUCCAUCAUCAUCUUCAUCAUCUUCGGCAAACAUCGACUCUGACCGCAGGCUUCCUCACAGGAACAGCUCCAGUCGCGAGCGCAGUGAUCGUUUCGAGCGGCGGGAUGAGCGUAUGGAUCGGGCCGGUGAUCGGUACGAGGGCAGAGAUGAGCGUGGGUCAGAUCGAAACCGUCCUGCCGUGGGCAAACGCAGCUUCAGCCGUGAGAAGGAGGAGCGCAGCCGUGAGCGUGAGCAGCAGCAGCAUUCCUCUGAGGUGCUGCGCCGCGGCUCCAGCACGACCACUGACCACAGGGAGAGAGACAGAGAGAGAGAACGAGAGCGCAGCG